GUUGCGGCCGGCGACCUCCCUGCCAGGCCGGGCGGUCCCCGCGCACAACGCGCCUGCGCGGGAGGCCCGCGGCCCAGGGUCUGGCGUGGAGGCCGCAGGCCCCCGGCCUAGCGGGUGGGAGGAAGGGCCGGGAGUGGGCGCGGUGGGUGAGAGCGGGUGCGGACGCUGACGACAUCCCCGUCUCACCCGGGCCUCGGGGAGGACUUCGGGCCGCGCGGAGCUCGAAGACUUGAACAGUAUGACCAAAAGCCCCUCCCUGCCUUCUCUAAGUAGCUCAGCCUGUGUUUCUCUGGCCGGAAAGUUGCAGUUCUCCCCACUCGAGGCCACCAAAGUCAGAAAAGUGCUGCAAAUGGGACUCCCAGAGGCCAGGCUGAAGCUGCCACACUGGCUGGAAUGGGCCACCUUGGAGGGGGACGUGGGAAUUCAUUCCAAGGGACGGGGGUUUCUUUCAAAGAGCAUGUUGCCUGCUUACAAAGGAGGCUGGCUCUGAAGCCGUCAUCUGGAGUCUGUAGUGAAGGCCUUUUGUUAGGGAAACUGGAUGGUUCGUGUUCAAAAUCCAUUUUGCGUGUGUGCAAGGAUACAGGUGGUAUUAAACAGAAGAGAAAAUCAGAUGACUGUGAAAUUUUCAAUACUAAAUAAGAUGAUUUUUAGUUUUUCUAGGGGCACUAUUUAUUUGUGACCACAAUGAAAAAUGUAGACAGUGAUGAUCUGGUAACUGGCGCACUUCCCAAGCUCAAGAGCUCAAAAGAAUGGUUGGAGCCCAAGCCUCUAUGUUUUAUGGAGAUUGGGUAAUUUCUAAUGAUCUGUCCUCAAGUUCACAAUUUUUAUGUCAUCUCUGAUCUGCUGCUAACCCAUUGAGAUUUUCAUGUCAAUAUAAUUUUCUUUUAUUUUACUUUAAGUU